ensembl:lncRNA
GUCGUUUGUCACGGUGCGACACUCUCGGGGCGACACCGGGUGUUGGUGGAGCGUGCCGGAAAUGAGCUUAAAGUCCUUGAGUAGAUGGAUGUUGUGAAGUAUUAGUGUUUAUUUCCUUGGUGCGAGAGGCAAAACGGCAGUAACGGAGCGGUUUGAGUACACAAACUGCUCCCAUCAUUAAGGAGACUUGACAGUAAUAGCAGCUCAGCUCUCAAGUAGGCCUAAUCCUAAACAAGUGGCAGUGAAAACUGCACUUUUUACAUCUUCACCCAGACCGCUUGCAAAGACAUUCCCCUAUCAAUCAGACAUUAACGUCCCCACGAUAGACCAAAAUAACUAUCAUCACUAACUGAACAAGGGGACAUUUAAAAAUAAGCACUAUAUUUACUCCGCCAUCAAAAUCACCUGCAGCACAUCGACACGGGACGAGAAGAACAGACAGCCCCGCUUACAGGCUUUACAAUUCAGUUAAUUCAACGAAAUCGGCCGUCGUAUCCGUGACGUCGCUUCAUUUUAACGGCGUCGGUUGAAACCUGCCGCCGUCGGCGUCGGCCGCCUCGGGAUUUGGCGUCUUGUGCGUUUUGAGAUUGUUGUAAAGAGUGGUUAUCGUAACCUUUCCGUCAGCUCCACCUAGUCUGGUCACUCGCCUCUGACCUCUCUCGUCGACAAGGCAUCUCCACUCGCAGAACAGUCACACUUGCUGCUCGUCGUUUUUGGGGUUUUUUUUGCUUAGUUUGUUUCUUUUUCACACCACUGUAUGUAAACGCUAGAGAAAAUCCCAGUUUCAAUAAGCAGUUUCUGUAAUACCCGAACCAGCUCGACUGGCACCAAUGUCGUCACUGAGAUCACAAAGAUUUAAACAAUUAAAAGUAUUUUGGUUUAUAAUGUGAAAAUGUCUUUAAAAAAAAAAUUAAUUAGACAAUCACUUUUCAUGAAGCCCCGUUUUGAACACCUUUACACUUGGGCCUGUAUUUACGGUAUUGUUGGGCUUAGUCGUUAGCACGUUUGCCUCACACGUCCGGGGUUGGAGGUUCAAAUCCAGGAGUGUGUGUGUGGAGCUUGCCUGUUCUCCCCGUGCCUUGGGGGUUUCCUCCCCAGGUACUCUGGUUUCCUACCCCAGUCCCAAAUGUUGUAGGGUGAUUGGCGUUCCCAAAUUGUCCGUAGUGUGUGAAUGUGUGUGCGAUUGUGCCCUGACACGGUUUGGCACUCCGUCCAGGGCGUCCCCUGCCUCGAGCCCCGAGUUCCCUUGGAUAGCCUCCAGGCUACCUGUGACCCUAUGUAGGAUAAGCGGUACAGAAAAAUGAUGGCUGGAUGGAUACGACAGCUGUUUUCUCUCACACACACACACACACACACGUCAUGUCCUUAACCUAUAGCGCUGGACUCGUGCAUGUGAUGUAUAGAGAACAGCAGACCUCUCAGAACUCGUCCAAUUAAAGUGCCUGACAAGUUCAGCAAACAUCUGUGCACCAAAGAGGGAGAUAAGUAAAUGCGAGUUUAAUGGGCGCAGUCAUGAAACACAGAAUAUUUAUCAUAGCCUGUUUGACUGCAGCUCAGUAGGGACAUUUUCACGUACAGCUCUUUUUAAAUGAAUUUUACUCACUCCUGUUAAAAUAGACCUGAAGGGGGGAAAAAAGAAAAAAAAAAACCUCCGCAAACGUCUUUGGUGCUUUUGGUGUUCACAAUUCAACUUCUUCACAUGAUCACAUCAUCAGAACUGAUGUGUGACGGCGAAUCACGGACAACGCCACUCAAAAUGGGGAUGUUACAUGAUGCUGCUGUUUGACGGUCGAUGAAGAAAAAAACUUGCUUUGAGGUCAAACACCAGAAGCAUCUAGGUUUACACUGAGAUACACACACACACACACACACCGGCCGUUUUAAUAGCACAUGCUUAACAUCACCUAGUCUUUUUCUAAUCUCCAACCGUACCGCUUUAGUGAUACUGUGCACACUGUAGCACCCGACGUGGUCUUCUGCUGUUGUCGCCCAUCCACCUCAGGGUUUGGCGUGUCCUGAGAUGCUUUUCAGCACUUGUAAAGAGUGGUUAUUCCAGCUGCUAUGGACUUCCUGUCAUUUUUUACCGGGUCUGGCUGUUCUCCUCGGACCCCUCUCAUCAGCGAGGCGUUUGGAGCUGCAGAACUGCUGCCCACUGAAACAAUCAUCAACAACCAUGGUACAGUCACUUAGAUCUAACAAAUUUGAACGGCCAUGAAUUGAAUCUCUUGACCUGUACUGUACCGACGUGCAGGAUUUUAUACUGUACACAUCACAGGCUGAUCGGAUAACUGUAGGUGUUCCUAUUAAACUGGCUGCUGAGAUAAAAAAUAACUAUUGUUCCCAUCACUGACACAUUAUUACCGUUAUUACUUCUGCACAAGAGCGUAAUUGCCAGUGCCACAAUGUCUCGAACAGCAGCCAUGUCCCUAGAGAACACUUCCUCACUUUGUUACGAGACCACACGACCCCCAGCGCAGCCACUCGGGCUUUUUAUCCCCCAACUACGAGACAUCACGUCUACAGGGUGUCCGAAUCUGUCCGUACAUAAGGGAAAUUAACACUUUUUUGCAAAACGUCUUUUUGUUUUCUUUUGACAAAAGACGAACGCAGUGAAAUCAUUCUCACGGCUGGAUCGGGAAGCUGUCGCAAGGUCACAAUGGAGUUUAACAGGAAAUAUGGUGAGCACAUCACACACACACGACACCGCUGCCAAACCCAUUAAGCAAUUCAAAAAGACUGGAAGUGACGCGGACCGACUGGGAAGCGGACGUCCACGAACAUCCGUUAACGAAGACACAACCGACGCGGUGCUGGUGUACACAGUCCUCUGUGUAUGCAGAUAUUUUGGGACACCCUGUCGUUUAAGAGGCGUCUGCGUUCAUUUGCUGUGUACACACAUUUUUACAAGGGAUAAAAGCGAGUAACCAUUCACCUUGGGGGUGGUCACUGAAACACUCGCUACGAGACUAAAUACGGCAAGUAGCAGCAGUCAAACAUCCCCCUCCCCCCACAUUCACGCGUGUAGAAAAUCAUAGAUGUGUGUAUCCGGACUUGCUGCUUAGUUCAGUAGUCAGGGCACUGAUCAGGAAGUCGGUCAUUUUAAGGGUUGUCUCAAUCGCAAAAUCCUUCCACAGGAACGUUCACUCCCUAAAAAAAAUCCCACAAUGCACUGCAAAAACCAGGGCUCAACCAUGCACGUGUUCAGACGUCAUACGAUCUGAAGCAUCUCAGCUCGAAACAAAAUGGUGGACGAACUCUCAGCCAACUUCAUCUACAAACCUACCCUACGGAAAUGGAGUCAUCAGCAUCCCGAUGUGUAGUGAGCCAGGGUCCUUAAUCAACGCCAUCUGAAUAGGGCUCGAGUGAAAACAGUCCCUCUUCACAUACGCUAAUUUAUGCUUCGCUAUUCCACUGAUCGCCACGAAUAAAUGUGAUGCCGUCUCGCGACCUGUUGGGUGAGCUUCAAAUGAAUACUUUCCCCAGGAAAAAAGAGUUGAGAACACUGCACGUACAAAACGACCAAGCUUUAAAGAAGGUCCAUCACGGUGAAUGUGUUUAUAAGGGAAAUACAUACAUUUGAGAAAUAAAAAGAAGCUAACUGAAAUCAAA